rnacentral:pre_miRNA from 1 species
CAUGUACUCCCUCCGUCCCAAAAUAAGUGACUCAAAAAUGACUCUACUUUGUACUAAUUUUAGUACAAAGUAGAGUCAUUUUUGAGUCACUUAUUUUGGGACGGAGGGAGUAGUUG